AUUAGCCCAGUGGAAUCCCACCUUAGCCCGAUAGAUUAGUUCUCUCGCUGGACAGAGGAGGCGCCGCAGCGCAGGCGCACUCCUUCUGCCGCCGCUCGAUGGCCGCCGCCGCCGCAUCACCUUCUCUUCCGCCUCGCACUCAGCACCUCUCGGCCUCCCUUCCCUCGCAGCUUCUUGUCGUCCCAAACUCCCAAUCAAGACUCGCCGAUCCCCUCGAGCACGGUCGGACGCGAUGGUCAGGUCGCCGGUGGCCCCAACCCCGACCCCCAGGUCGCCGGUGGCCCCAAACCCGAACUCCAGCUCGCCGGUAGCCCCAACCCCGACACCCAAGUCGCAGGCUGCCCCAACCCCGACUCCCAGCUCGCGUGCUGCAGAUCUUGAGGAGCACAAGGUUACUAAUGAGCUCUUGUGUGCCAUAAAAAUUGAGAAGGCUAAUGACCCGGAUCUUGAAGAGCACAAGGGUGCUGGUAAGCUCCUUACGGAACCACCAAAGUUCAAGAAAAGGAAGCGAAGUAGGCAGAGUAGCGGCAAGCUUCAUGGGGAACACCAAGAAAUGAACGAAGUCGUCAUGAAGCCGUCGACGUCCAAGAAAAAGAGGAAGGCAAGUGAAGGAAUGUGCACUAAUCCACCGGCACCAUUGUUUGGACCUUUGGCCGUUGACAUGGAUAAGCAGCCACCACCAUUGAAGAAAAAAAGGCUUAAUAAGAGAGAUGUUGCAACUAUACCAUCAUCCGGAUCUUUGCCCAUUGAAAAGGAUAGGCAGCCAUCACCUAGAUCUUUGCCUGUUGACAAGGAUAAGCAGCCAUUACUUGGACCUUUGGCCAUUGACAAGGAUAAGCAGCCAUCACCUGGAUCUUUGCCCCUUGACAAUAAUAAGCAGCCAUCAUCUGGAUCUUUGGCCGUUGACAAGAAUAAGCAUCCAUCACUAUCCAAAAAAGUGGUAAGGUCUCCAGUCCUUAACAAUGUCGUAGUUUCAUUCUUAGCAAGAAGAGAAAAAAAAACUAAGUCACUAGAGAGCUCUCCAACGUCACAGCCUUCGUUGCUAGCUCUGUCACCCAAAGUAGCAAACAUUGGUUCACGCAGACCACGAAAAUUAAAAUCAAAAAUUUGGUAAGAGGCAAAACCAAUCUAUAUUGAUGGAAUGCUUGCACAUGGCCGUUGCAUUCAUUGCGACAAACUCUUCCCUGCCUCAAAAAAGUCAGGUACAAGUCACAUCGGUAAACAUUUGGUGGUAUGUGAAGAGAAAGCUAAAAUGGAUGGUAUGGUUGCCAAGAUACGAACUGAUAGUGCAAUUGAUCCAAAGUGGAAGUUUGACCAAGGGCGUGCACGUAGAGCACUGGCAAAGUUGAUUGUGCUACAUGAAUUACCUUCCAAUUUUUUUGAAUAUCCUAGCUUUAGGUCGUUUGUUAAGACGUUGAAUCCAUGGUUCAACGUGGUAUGCAGAGAAACAAUUAAACAAGAUUGCAUUGAUGCAUAUGAUAGACACAAAAAAGAAAUUCAAGCACUUUUUAGCAAUCUAAGUUCUCGAGUAUCAUUAACGGGUGACAUGUGGACGUCCAAUCAGAAGCUAGGUUAUUUAUGCAUAACUGCCCACUUUAUUGAUGGCUCAUGGACUCUACAAAACAGAAUAAUCACAUUUUGCCUCUUAGAAACUCCACACAACUCCCAUAACAUGUUUGACAUGGUGCAAAAGAGCUUGAGAGAUUGGAACAUUGAAGACAAAAUCUUUAGCUUUACCUUGGACAAUGCACCAGUUAAUACCUUGAUGGUUGGCCACUUGAGAAAAAAUCUGGCAGAUAGGUAUCUUGUGCAUCAUAGUGGAAAAUUAUUGCAUGUUAGAUGUGCUGCACAUGUACUGAAUCUCGUGGUGCAAGAUGGGCUCGAUGCAAUGGCGUCAGUUGUUGAUAGAAUCAGAGAUUCAGUGCAGUAUGUCAGGAGUUCGCAAGACAGAAUGGAGAAAUUCAAUGCGAUGAUUGCGCGGGUGGGACUUGCUUGUAAAAACCAUCCUUCGCCAGAUGUGCCUACCCGAUGGAAUUCAACGUACCUAAUGCUUGAAUCAUCAUUGCCGUUUAGAGCAGCGUUCGAAGCCUUGAAAGAAACUGACAAAGAUUAUAAAUUUGCUCCUUCAGCUAGUGAAUGGGAGAUGGCUGAUGCUAUUUACCAUCUUUUGGGCGCUUUUUACACAGCCACAAAGAAAAUCUCGGGUAGGACAUAUCCCACCUCUCACCUGUACUUCUACGAGGUCUGGAAUGUGAAGCAGAUAAUGGAGAAAGAAGUCACAAGUGAAAAUCCUACCAUUGUUGCCAUGGUGAAAGAGAUGGAGGAGAAAUGGAUGAAAUAUUUUGAGGAGUCAUUCUUAACAAGUUGUCUGCCAGUGAUAUUUGAUCCGAGGUACAAAUAUGAAUAUGUUCACUUCCAACUGACCGCAGCUUUUGGUGGUGGCGCCGGGAAAUAUCUUACCAAGGUGAAUAGUGCGAUGAAGAUCCUAUUUCCUGAAUAUGCAUCUGAAUAUGAAAACACUUCUGAUGAAGGUGAUGAGGUUGCAGAGGAGGAUGGUGAGGGCACUCUCAAUGACUGGGAUAAGCAUUUGAGAUUGAAAAGAUCCCACAACUCAAAUGAGCUACAACGAUAUCUUGAAGAAGACUUGUUUCCUCGCCGACAGAAAUUGGAUAUCUUAAAGUGAUGGGAGAUUCACUCCCCAAAGUAUCCAGUGCUUGCCGCUAUAGCACGGGACAUAUUGGCAGUGUCUGCGUCUACAGUGCCUGCAGAGGCUGCAUUCAGCAAUGCCGGAAGGAUCUUCACUGCUCAAAGAAGUAGUUUGACCCCGAGUACUGUUGAGACGCUGAUGUGCCUCGAGGAUUGGUUUCGAGCAGCUGAUCGCCAAAAGGCGGAACCAACAGUUGGAGACCAUGGUGGUACCACACCUAUUCAUACCAUGCCUGCCGUGCGCUUCAUGUAGCUAACAAGUUGAAUUCAUCAUCAACCUAUCCGUUGCUGGAGUUGUUCUUCAAAAAUCAGGUCCUCUGUUCAGACUCUAUGGACAUUCGUCAUCAACCUGCCGUGCGCUUCAUGCAUUCGUCACCAUUUUAGUGUGCUCAGCCUUGCAUUUUCACUUGAUCAGUAGUUGUGUGUUCUCGCCGUCGUCGAGACUCUGCAACUUUAUAUAUCUGUGGGCAGAGUUAACCAACAGAUGGAACACACUUUAAUUGUUGUCUUGGUUUGCACUCUUAUUAUCCUCUCGUAAAUCGAUUCAUCCGUAUAUGUAUAUGUAACUGAAGGUUUAGUAGAUCUCAAGUGUGAUGUUUUCAUACUAUGCUGCUGCUCAGUUAUUUUCAUACCAUGUUGCAGCUCUAUAUCAAGUUUAUGCAAAUGUAUUU